CUUGAAGAUACUGGAAAUGAACAAUUUGCUUCAACAUCCAAUCAUCUUGAAGAUAUUGAAAAUCAAGAACAAAUUCCUACACAAGAUACCUUUGGUGCAAUAUCUAAAUUCCACGGAUCAUAUUGCCGAAAUGUGCCAUUCAACGGACUCUUAAGCUACCCAAAUCAAUAAAAACAAACGAAAUUCCACGAUAUAUAUUACCGAAAUGUACCAUUCAGCAGAAUCUUAAUCUAC